rnacentral:Y_RNA from 1 species
GCGACGAAUGCUGAUGGAACUACAUCCAAGGUUCGAGAUGCGGGUUCGAUUCCCGCCGGUGCCGGAAAACGGCGCCGUGGUUCAAUGGUCAGAACGCGAGUGCACCGUUUCAUCGACUCCUUGUCGUCGCAUC